AGGAUUGCAAGUUUCCUGAGGCCUUGCCAGAAGCCGAGUGGAUGCCAAAAAUCAGGCUUCCUGUACAGCCUGCAGAACUUCCCGAGACCGUUAGUCCUAGUUACCAUGGGAACCGAAGCUGAGUGUCUGACGCAUUCAUCGGACUCUGGGAGAAAAUUCGAGUUGGUCCCUGAUUUCAGCUUUACCCCAUAAAGACAAAGAAACUGGCUGAGGAGACAAAAGAAAGAAAGUAGCAGAAGAUGGUAAGGAAACAGAGACAGAGUCUCACUUGUGUUGCCAAGAGAGCUUGAGCAUCAACUGGCAGUGAGGACAGCCGGAAAGUAACCGACUUACCCCUCUCACCAGACCUUCCAACUGUCUGCCACACUGGCAUUGCCGUGUAUCCCUGCAUCUUGUUGAUCCCAUUGUGGCAUUGUGGUCAGAGAAUAUACAACUCGCUGAAGAAUCCAUUGUUUAUGGACAUUCCUGGGAUUGUAUUCAUUUAAAUAUCUUUAUGUACAUUGUAGUGGAAUAUAAUACAAAAAUGGAGUUGCAUGAAAAA